rnacentral:rRNA from 1 species
CCCGCACAAGCAGCGGAGCGUGUGGUUUAAUUCGAUGCAACGCGAAGAACCUUACCAAGGCUUGACAUGCCAGAAGUAGGAACUCGAAAGAGAGACCACCUGUAUCCAGUCAGGAACUGGCACAGGUGCUGCAUGGCUGUCGUCAGCUCGUGCCGUGAGGUGUUAGGUUAAGUCCUGCAACGAGCGCAACCCUCGUCGCUAGUUAAAUUUUCUAGCGAUACUGCCCGUAAAACGAGGAGGAAGGUGGGGAUGACGUCAAGUCAGCAUGGCCCUUACGCCUUGGGCUACACACACGCUACAAUGGGUGAUACAACGGGUUGCGAGAGAGCGAUCUGGAGCUAAUCCCUAAAAUCAUCCUCAGUUCGGAUUGCAGGCUGAAACUGCCUGCAUGAAGUUGGAGUUGCUAGUAACCGCAGGUCAGCACACUGCGGUGAAUACGUUCUCGGGCCUU